rfam:Gossypium raimondii Chr07_contig_752, whole genome shotgun sequence.
ACCUCCGAGUGGAAGGGCUGUCGCUCAACGGAUAAAAGUUACUCUAGGGAUAAGAGGCUAAUCUUCCGCAAUAGCUCACAUUGACGGGAAGGUUUGGCACCUCGAUGUCGGCUCUUCUCCACCUGGGGCUGUAGUAUGUUCCAAGGGUUGGGCUGUUCGCCCAUUAAAGCGGUACGUGAGCUGGGUUCAGAAUGUCAUGAGACAGUUCGGUCCAUAUCUGGUGUGGGCGUUAGAGCAUUGAGAGGACCUUUCCCUAGUACGAGAGGACCGGGAAGGACGCACCUCUGGUGUACCAAUUAUCGUGCCCAUGGUAAAUGCUGGGUAGCCAAGUGCGGAGCAGAUAACUGCUGAAAGCAUCUAAGUAGUGAGCCCACCCCAAGAUGAGUGCUCUCAUAUUCUGACUUCCUCAGA